rnacentral:rRNA from 1 species
CUCUUAAGAUUGAGCUGUGAUGGGGAGAGGAACUUGUUCCUCGAGUCGUUGAUUUCACACUGCCGAGAAAAGCCUCUAGCUAGAAUAACGGUGCCCGUACCGCAAACCGACACAGGUAGUCAAGAUGAGAAUUCUAAGGUGAGCGAGCGAACUCUCGUUAAGGAACUCGGCAAAAUGACCCCGUAACUUCGGGAGAAGGGGUGCUCUUUGAGGUUCACGCUUCGAAGAGCCGCAGUGAAUAGGCCCAAGCGACUGUUUAUCAAAAACACAGGUCUCUGCUAAACCGUAAGGUGACGUAUAGGGGCUGACGCCUGCCCGGUGCUGGAAGGUUAAGAGGAGUGGUUAGCGCAAGCGAAGCUACGAAUCGAAGCCCCAGUAAACGGCGGCCGUAACUAUAACGGUCCUAAGGUAGCGAAAUUCCUUGUCGGGUAAGUUCCGACCCGCACGAAAGGCGUAACGAUUUGGGCACUGUCUCAACGAGAGACUCGGUGAAAUCAUAGUACCGGUGAAGAUGCCGGUUACCCGCGACAGGACGGAAAGACCCCGUGGAGCUUUACUGUAGCCUGAUAUUGAAAUUCGGUACAGUUUGUACAGGAUAGGUAGGAGCCUUAGAAGCGUGAGCGCUAGCUUACGUGGAGGCAUUGGUGGGAUACUACCCUAAUUGUAUUGGAUUUCUAACCCGCAGCACUUAUCGUGCUGGGAGACAGUGUCAGGCGGGCAGUUUGACUGGGGCGGUCGCCUCCUAAAGAGUAACGGAGGCGCUCAAAGGUUCCCUCAGAAUGGUUGGAAAUCAUUCAUAGAGUGUAAAGGCAUAAGGGAGCUUGACUGCGAGACCUACAAGUCGAGCAGGGUCGAAAGACGGACUUAGUGAUCCGGUGGUUCCGCAUGGAAGGGCCAUCGCUCAACGGAUAAAAGCUACCCCGGGGAUAACAGGCUUAUCUCCCCCAAGAGUUCACAUCGACGGGGAGGUUUGGCACCUCGAUGUCGGCUCAUCGCAUCCUGGGGCUGUAGUCGGUCCCAAGGGUUGGGCUGUUCGCCCAUUAAAGCGGUACGCGAGCUGGGUUCAGAACGUCGUGAGACAGUUCGGUCCCUAUCCGUCGUGGGCGUAGGAAAUUUGAGAGGAGCUGUCCUUAGUACGAGAGGACCGGGAUGGACAUACCUCUGGUGUACCAGUUGUCGUGCCAACGGCAUAGCUGGGUAGCUAUGUAUGGACGGGAUAAGUGCUGAAAGCAUCUAAGCAUGAAGCCCCCCUCGAGAUGAGAUUUCCCAACUUCGGUUAUAAGAUCCCUCAAAGAUGAUGAGGUGAAU